AUGUCCGAUUCAAAGACCAUAGAUACUCAGGCAGGAUAUGAAAGUGCAAUAACCGCCAUGACAGUUGCGCUGUCAGGAAGCAACUACAUCCAUGAUUCAG
rfam:Dethiosulfatibacter aminovorans DSM 17477 genome assembly, contig: EJ55DRAFT_scaffold00015.15